CCACAGCUGCGGAGUUCUACAAUAGGACGAAACGGCCGUCCAGUAC
rnacentral:hammerhead_ribozyme from 1 species